CGGUACCUCAACAACAAUGAGAUGAUCCUCCUAUUAAAAGGUUUCAAGUUUACCCCGACACCUACACCUAAUCUCAUAGAACUGGAAUCUGAUACUGAA